CCUACGGGCGUCAGCAGUGAGGAAUAUUGGUCAAUGGCCGGAAGGCUGAACCAGCCAUGCCGCGUGAAGGUCAGUGCCCUAUGGGCGUUAAACUUCUUUUGUGUGGGAGCAAUAAUGGUCACGUGUGGCCAGACGAGAGUACCGUACGAAUAAGCAUCGGCUAACUCCGUGCCAGCAGCCGCGGUAAUACGGGGGAUGCAAGCGUUAUCCGGAUUUAUUGGGGUUAAAGGGUGCCUAGGCUGUGAGGUAAGUCAGCGGUGAAAUGCCCCCGCUCAACGGGGUGAAGUGCUAUUGAUACUGCCUUGCUGGAAUGCGGAUGCCGUGGGAGGAAUGUGUGGUGUAGCGGUGAAAUGCAUAGAUAUCACACAGAACACCGAUUGCGAAGGCAUCUCACGAAUCCGCGAUUGACGCUGAUGCACGAAAGCGUGGGUAUCAAACAGGAUUAGAUACCCUUGUAGUC
rnacentral:rRNA from 1 species